GACGAACGCUGGCGGCGUGCUUAACACAUGCAAGUCGAACGGAAAGGCCCUGCUUUUGUGGGGUGCUCGAGUGGCGAACGGGUGAGUAACCCGUUAGUAACCUGCCCUUUACUUUGGGAUAACUUCAGGAAACUGGGGCUAAUACCGGAUAGGAGCUCCUGCUGCAUGGUGGGGGUUGGAAAGUUUCGGCGGUUGGUGAUGGACUCGCGGCUUAUCAGCUUGUUGGUGGGGUAGUGGCUUACCAAGGCUUUGACGGGUAGCCGGCCUGAGAGGGUGACCGGCCACAUUGGGACUGAGAUACGGCCCAGACUCCUACGGGAGGCAGCAGUGGGGAAUAUUGCACAAUGGGCGGAAGCCUGAUGCAGCAACGCCGCGUGCGGGAUGACGGCCUUCGGGUUGUAAACCGCUUUCGCCUGUGACGAAGCGUGAGUGACGGUAAUGGGUAAAGAAGCACCGGCUAACUACGUG
rnacentral:rRNA from 1 species